UCCCGAGCGGGGCGCGCGAGGGCGCACCGCGGCCACCACGGAUGGCGGGCAUGUCGGGUUCGGGUUCCCGACUCGGGUU
rnacentral:tRNA from 1 species